UCUAUUCAAGUUAUAAUAUCUGAACCGUUUGUCAUGUUGUCUAAGAAAAUUUUCAACUAGCAGGAGGAAAUUAGAAGAAAGGCGUUUGCUUUGGAAGCAGAAUUAAAGGGUGAAAAUGAGAGGUCAUUGUCUACGAUUGCUCAGCUUGAGAGGCAAGCCGAAAUAAGGAGAGAGAUGGAUAGACGAAUGGACAGACAAUAUCAGCGCAAGAUGUACAUAUCUAUUCAACCAUCCUUUGGCUUUACAUUUCUCUGCUUCUUGUGGUUACGAUUUAAUGUUUGCCUACUUCUGUUGUGAUACCGUGCCUUCCUCUCAUCUUGGGACUUUAUGAUAAAUAUUGCUAAUGUUCUGAUUAUCGUUUUAUGUCAUUCUGCUUGUAUGCUAUUGCUCAACAUUUUUAAUCAACUGUGUAUCAGUUAUAUAAAAAAAAUUUCUUACAUUAAAUGUUUGCUAUCAUCCAUUAUUUUAAAUUAGCUUUCUACCAGCUGGGUAUUACAAGGAUUUCCUCAGAUUACAUGCGUAAUUUCCUGUUCUCAAAUAUUCGAGUUUUUAUAUUUUAACUUUUUUUCCUCUGGUUUUGUGCCAAACACAGGAAGACAAUUUCGAAACCUGUUUGAGUAUAUAAAUUCGAGAAAUAAAAUUUAAUAUUUAUGGAUAAAAUUUAUGUGUUGAAUGUUCUUCAUCUGAAAUGGUGGUAUGUUGCCUCCAGACUACUACAAUGAUCUCUGAACACUAUUCGUAUCAUGUGGAGCUAUAUUUUUUUAAUGUUAUAACUUUGAAUUUUGGGUCGUUACUUUUUGUCACUUUCAUCCAGAUUGUAUUUUUAUUUUAUGCUGUAACAUGUAAUGUAGGAUGUAUUAUUGCUAAAAGGGAGGGCGAUGUAAGAUUAACAAGAACAUUGUGUCUGUGUGGAUAGGGCUCUCUCUCAUCUAGCUGCUGUCAACCUUUAAUUUGCUCUCCAGCAAUGAGAUAAAGGUGGACUACUAUGGAGGAGUAUAGGCUUUUUCAACAAAUGAUUCACAAUCCUUGGCAUAAUUCGAAUUCAUUAAAUAUAACUAAAGUGCAUAUAGGGAUUAUGUCUAUUUGUUAAGUACAUGUCAAUAGAGUUAUCAAGAUAUUUGUAAAUCUCAUCUGUUAUCAUUGUUCUACUUAUGGCAAGACAGGUUGUGCCAUAUCAUAAUUUCUCUUUUCCAUUCAAUGAAAAUCGAAGGACGAUAAUUCCAUUACUCUGGAAAUGUAUAGAGAAG
rnacentral:lncRNA from 1 species